GCUCCACAUUCCUGCUCGGCAUUCCUGCCCGGGCAUUCCAGCCCGGCAUUUCUGCCCGGCGUUCCUGCAAUCCCGGGCUGCGCCGUUCCUCGCACCGGCGCGAGAGAAGCCUGCGGAACGCCCCAGGGCUGGCGAUGCUUUGUCAUGUCCCUCACGCCGCUCCUCAGAGCGCGAGGUUGGAGAAGGGAGACUCAUCGUGCCCGUGCUUCUUAAAGGCCAACUGAUAGUCUUUGUCCACUUCUGAAAAGGAGGGGGAACGUUCAAGCAGAAUUCAGAAGGACUGAAGAGGAGCAUCCAUAACAGUGUGAGAUCUGAGCACUUGCACUGCUCCGAAGUCCGUCCCAUUUGCUUUGCACUUGCUCUUCUGUUUCUACUGCUGUUUGCUUGGACUUCUCCCUAGGCUGGAGCUGCAAAGAAACAGCCAGUUGCAGAAUUAUGCUAAGGCAGCCUCAAAGGGGAAGGCAUCUCACCAGCCCAGAGACCCAGGGAGAUCCUGUGGCAUUGCAGCAAUUGCCAGUGCCUCCACCAGCUUCUCCUUCCCUGCCACAGCAGGUGACCCACCAUCUUCUUCAGCUCUUUGUGCUGUUACCUGCCCCACUGGGCCCUAGGGACAAGGUGGGCAGCCCCCUCCUGGCCCCAUUAGGAUGUUGGAGGGGUUGAUGUGUCAGGGAGAAGGGCUAGGGCAUUGAAGACCUCUUGGAAGCAGYGCUGGGGCAGAUGUCCUUCUCAGGCUGCCAUUUCUGCGUCCACACUUGUUACAGUUUCCAUCACAGUCUCCUGCAUAUCCACGGCUGCUUUCCCAUGCCCAGCCCCCUGGACAGAAAGAUAUAUGUAGGCAACUAAUGCUAUUUACAUUUGUAAAUAUUUGUCUUAAUGUUCUAAGGGAGCGGUUUUGGCCAUAUUAAGGCCCCUUUCUAUAACUAGUCAAACUGCACCAGCAAAAAAAAUGUUCAGAGAUGUGGAAAGAGGUGCUGGCUCUGCGUGACAAGCUCUCUCACCCUCAGUGCUGCUGGAAUUAUAAUUUGAUAGAUGCUGUGAAUCAAAUUGACAUGAUGCUGCUUCUUAAAGUCUUUGUUUCAAAUUUUAUAGCAGUGUUCCUGCCAGCAUAUGCUUAUCACCAAAAUGUUGCUUUCCUCUGAUUUUCUGCCUCUCAAAGGAGGGUAAGAAUGUCCUGCUGUGAUUGGGAGCAGGCACAAAAAGCCCCAGAUUACUUCUUGAAAUGAGGUCUGAGGACAAAACCAGAUCCAACUAUUCAUUAUAGGGGAGAUUUCCCCAACUAAGCAUACAAGGGGUUCUUUGUAUGGCCAAGGUGAAGGUAGUCCUAAGGCAAUACUGUUUAAAACCACAUCCCCACUGCUCCAGACAAAGUCUCCUGUUCAAAUAAAUUGCACUAAUGCAGCAGUCAGCAAUAGGGGAGUUUAGAAAUGCAUGUUCAUCUUCUAGUCACAUACAAGUCCAAUGCUAUUUCAAGUUCAGCACCUGAAAAAAUCUUUAUUAGUCCCUGAUAUAUUCAGUGUGGACACUGAACAUAAAAAAAACAAAACAAAACAAAACAAAACAACAUUAAAUGCUUCCGUUCUCAUUGCCCAUAAAGGCAAAAAAAAUGUUUGAUCAUCCCUACAAACCUCUACCUGAGAUGGACUGUUGUACUGUGCUCCUGUGGCCUCUGCUCAGCCCCCCAUUCUUGCUCUGCUGUGGUUGUGUCUUGGGUUGAUUUUUGUGCCAAUUCUGUUAUGUAUUCCUAUUCUCSUUGGCUUGUAUGCCCAAAAGGUGUUUGUACCUUUAAAUGCAACCCGGAAGAAGGAGCAGGGGCUGCUGGGAAGGUGACGCGGGCAGUUUAAAAGCCGGUGCUGCCACACAGCCAGGGCUUUUGGGAGCUCUGCUCUUGCUCUGCUCAGCGCCAGGGGAGUCCUUGCUCACUGUUUGCAGCAGAGUUACAUUGUUGCAGUUUUAGCUAGCUCGGGUCUGUUAGCUUCGGCAGCUUUCCGCGGACAGACCUCCUCUGCGGCUCCUGUGAUUCUGCUUCUGGAGCAAUUCAGUGACCGGUGGGGCUCCCUCUCCUCUGGGAUUCCGGAAGCCAAGCCAGCAACAGAAACACACCGAGCCCUCUGAUCCAUCCACAGUGAAGAAAGGACUGUAAUACAGGUUUUUAGGUUUUCUUUUUGCCACUGUUACGGGAACGGCCACGUGGGUUUUUUCCUUUCUUGUUUCUUUUUUUUUUCCUGGGGACGGGAGCCAUUUUGUCCGCGCCACGUGGCGAGCGGGAGGGGGCAGAGGGGUUCCUGGGCUUUUGAAUGUCUAAUGGUUACUUUUUAAUCUGUGUCCUGUGGGCACUGUGUUUUGUUA